rnacentral:lncRNA from 1 species
GGCAAUUGAAGUGUCCAGAUUAUAUAAAGGCUGACUUAGGGGAAAAAAUUAUAUACGAAGAAGAUCAAAAAGUCAAUUAACACAAAAAUGUUUUAGGUCUCUAAGUCGCCAAGGAAAUUCAAGUACAAUUAGAUACCAUUUUAUACAAUCAUAUAAUACCAAGGAUAGGCAAAAAUCUUGAAAAAAAAACUUUUCAUUACUUUAGUAAAGUUGAAAUUACGCAUUGCUGGAGUUCCUUUUGUGGCACAGUGGAAGCUAAUCCAACUAAUACCCAUGGGGAUGGAUCGAACCUGCAUCCUCAUGGAUACUAGUUAGAUUCGUUUCCUCUGUGCCACAACGGGAACUCCCAAAUACAGAUUUUAUAUUUAUAAAAUUCACUUUCCAUAUUAAGAAGGCCUGGGAGUUUAUAGUACUGCAUCUAAAUAUGUAAUAUUCAGAGUUGUAGUGAUUAGCAUUAUCGAUUGAUUCCUUUUUAAAGGGAGUCGCGUGUUUUACGUAUUUCUAAUUUCACAAUUUUAUUUCUGAGAAAAAGUUAUUGUUCCCACAGUAUAUUGUCUAAACAAUAAGGCAUCCACAGGGUGGAUUCUUAUGGCAAUGUUUGAAGUAACAGGGGAAAAAAAACUAACUUACAUGACUCCAGCACUAGCAUUUCCAGUCAAAUCCAGUCCGUGGCCUCUAAGCUAAGAAUUGUUUUACCAGGUGUGCAGGGUCUAGCUUAUCAAAUCCUGCACAUUCCAAAGAUAAGCCUGCCCCUUGACCAGCUCCCUAGGAGAUAACCUUUUAAGUUCUUAGAAUAUCCCGCCUCCUGGGUGUGCCUCUGUUUACUUGGAGCCUUGAGCCACAUCAGAUAGUUUAUGAUAACAGUGAUUUUGGGGUGGGGGGACCUUGCACCUCACAGGAGCAGCUUGAUCUCUGGAGGAGCCGGAAGCUGAAUAAGGCCAGCCAAGUGGGUGCUCCAUGCCUGCCAGACCUGCACUGCAAUGGAAGCCCUGGACACGGAGUCUCAGGUAAGUGUCCCUUGUUGACGGGAUGCUCUGCGUGUUGUCCCACAUCUCUUCCGGAAGAAUUAAAUUCGGUCCCUGCAGCUUCUCUGGAGAGGAAACGUGGAGGCUUGUGCAGGUCUCCUGGACUCUUCCCGGUGCCUUUUACAUUUGCUGAUUUUAAAUUUUAUCUUUUUGCUGUAAACUGUAACUGUCAGCCCGACAGCUUUUCUGAGUUCCAUGGGUCAUUGAACUAGAGAGUAAUCUGGGGGCCUCUGACAUGAUAUAUUUAAAGGACUGUGUUUUUAGAAAGAAUAUGCAGGAGUUCCCAUUGUGGCUUAGUGGGUGAAAGACCUGACAUUGUCUCUUUGGGGGUGUGGGUUUGAUCCCUGGCCUCACUCAGUGGGUUAAGGAUCUGGUGUUGCUGCAAGCUGCAGUUAGGCAAAUGCAGCCAGUAAAAUACAUUUUUAAAUAAAUAAAUAGAAUAUGCAGUAGAGACCAUAUGUGUCCUGAGAAGCUUAAAACAUUGCUGUUUGGCCCUUUACAGAAAACUGUUUCCAACUCAUGCAGAAAUGUAACAAAUAAAUACCUAUGUUAUUUUCACACAUUGAAGACAUAACAAUUAAAAUGGAUGAAUAGCUAUGUAAAUAAAUCUCAAACUGUUUUAAGUUUAAAAAGUAGCAGAAGAAUAAAGCAGUAGGAUACUAUUUAUGUAACUUAAACUAUUGUUAUGAUUAAAUGUGUACGUAAAAUGUAAAAAGCACCAAGAAGGAUGUCCAGGAACCUCAGGAUUGUCCUGAGCUCCAGGGGAAAAAACGGAAUGGAAGGUAAGAAAUUUGUCAGAUUUCAUCCUUAAAAAGAGAGAUUCAGGGGAAAUAACUGAAUCUCAUGAAACAAAUGAAAAGAUUUUAUUUUACUGAUUUUUUUGUUUCUUUCCCCAAUCAGCUUAACUUGGAACUGUAGAAUGAUUGUGAUAAAGAUCUCGUCGGCCUCCCAUUCUUCAGGUUCUCCGUCAAGGCACAGGUCUUGGUCGGUGAAUUGCCCAAAGUCAUGAUAAACUCUUGUUUUGUUGUUUUUGCUUUUUAGGGCCACACUCGCAGUGUAUGGAGGCUCCCAGGCUAGGGGCUGAAUGGGAACUACAGCUGUCGGCCUAUGUCACAGCUCACUGCCACACUGGAUCCUUAAUCCACUGAGCGAGGCCAGGGAUCAAACCCACAUCCUCAUGGUUCCUAGUCGGAUUCAUUUCUGCUGCGCCACAACGAGAACUCCGAAUUCUUGUUUGUUUAAAGAGAGCAUUCUGUAGGAAGUAUGUUAGUGCUGGCAGGGUCAGUAAUUUUGAACUAUGGGAACCUCUUAAAGGAGUAAGGGCUAUGCUAAUACAUUCCAGAGCUAUAUCAAGUUCUCUUUUAAUUCUGUCCAUCUGUAAAUUGAAGACUAUUGAGAAAUAGGUAUGGAAGAAAGAGAAACAUACAUUCUGAGAAUUCAUGCAGCUAGCUCUUUUACAGAUAGUAAAGCAUGCAUAGGGAGUUCCCUGGUGGCCUAGCGGUUAAGGACUCGGCAUUGUCACUGCUGUGGCUCUGGUUCAGUCCCUGGCCCAGGAACUUCUGCAGCCCUGGGCACAGCCAAAAACAAAGAAAAGCAUGCACGGCCUCAGGGAUUAAUAUCCUUUAUGCUGGGGGUGAGCUGCUUAAUGCACUCUAGGUUUACAGUGGAGGCAAUAUACCUAAUUUGUAUUUUCUUAAAAUUUCUUUUGCUCUUUGAAGCAGUCGUAGAGAUCAUGCCAAGUUUAGUGUCUGCUGAUAUGUAGACAAUUUAAAAGGUAUUAAAAGUUAAGGAGAUCUAGCUGUGGCUCAGCAGGUUAAGAACCCAACUAGUCUCUGUGAGGAUAUGGAUUCAAUCCCUGGCCUCGCUCAGUGGGUUAACAGGAUCUGGUGUUGCCGCAAGCUGUGACGUAGUCAGAGAUGUGUCUUGGAGCCAGUGUUGCCAUGGCUGUGCUGUAGGCUGGCAGCUGCAGCACUGAUUCAACCCCUAGCCCUGGGAACUUCCAUAUGCUGUAGGUGCGGCUAUAAAAAGAAAAAAAAAAAAA